rnacentral:rRNA from 1 species
GACGAACGCUGGCGGCGUGCUUAACACAUGCAAGUCGAACGGAAAGGCCCUGCUUUUGUGCGGUGCUCGAGUGGCGCACGGGUGAGUAACACGAGAGUAACCUGCCCUUGACUUUGGGAUAACUUCAGGAAACUGGGGCUAAUACCAGAUAGGCGCUCCUGCUGCAUGGUGGGGGUUGGAAAGUUUCGGCGGUUGGGGAUGGACUCGCGGCUUAUCAGCUUGUUGGUGGGGUAGUGGCUUACCAAGGCUUUGACGGGUAGCCGGCCUGAGAGGGUGACCGGCCACAUUGGGACUGAGAUACGCCCCAGACUACUACGGGAGGCAGGAGUGGGGAAUAUUGCACAAUGGGCGGAAGCCGGAUGCAGCAACGCCGCGUGCGGGAUGACGGCCUUCUGGUUGUAAACCGCUUUCGCCUGUGACGAAGCGUGAGUGACGGUAAUGGGUAAAGAAGCACCGGCUAACUACGUG